CUAUUGUGACAUCCCUGGAUCUUCCUUCUACUUCAUUAAUGAAAAACCAGAACUGGAACGACCAAGAGCCAUAAAUGAUAACAAAAAUCACCAGAUCCAAGCAAACACAUGAGCCUCAGAUACUUAACAAGUUACCACCACGCUCAACAACGAAGAUGGGCAUCUAAAAGACCCAAAUCAUUUUCUUGGGGUGGGACAUCUUACCUAUGUAGCUCUGCUUUUUAACUUCGAGACCAGCGAUCUCCAGCAUCAGAAAAGCCGAGGGUGGCAGAAGAAUUGAGAAGAACAAAGUUCUUGAAUGGAAGACGUAAAAUCAACUCUAAUGCCGACUAGAAGAAUCAAAGAAGAAAAGAAAGGUGGAGGAAGCUGUCACAGUCAAGUACCAAACUAGAGCCAGGAGAUCUGAGCAUCAAUGGUAGAAGUCAAAAGCAUCGGACGAAGGAUCCUAUUUCCAGUGAUGACUAGUAUAGUAAGGAUUCACAGUACUGAAGACACAAAAGUUCUAGAAUGGCAUUCCUUCUUUUUACUGUGUAUUUCAGAGAUGACAAAGGGACAAAACUGGGAAAGAGGUCACCAAUCACCGUUGUCAAGAAGGAGACAAGGCCUGACCACACACCAGAGAGCCUGUAGACAGGGUGUAUUCUCAGAUGGGGAAGUCAUGGCAACACUAGCAGACCCCAGUCCUUGCUCCUGCUGUGGAAAGUGACUUAGUCCAAAGACUUGCUUGGACGUGACACUGGUGACAUCUGUACACUAAGAAAUUUGCAUUUUAGAGCAGGAAGCCAGAUCCCAG
rnacentral:lncRNA from 1 species